rnacentral:rRNA from 1 species
GACGAACGCUGGCGGCGUGCUUAACACAUGCAAGUCGAACGGGAUUUAGUAGACAGAAGCCUCGGCUAAAGAUUACUAAUGAGAGUGGCGAACGGGUGAGUAACGCGUGAGCAACCUGCCUAUGACAGUGGGAUAGCCUCGGGAAACCGGGAUUAAUACCGCAUAAAAUCGUAGAAACACAUGUUUUAACGGUCAAAGAUUUAUCGGUCAUAGAUGGGCUCGCGUCUGAUUAGCUAGUUGGUGAGAUAACAGCCCACCAAGGCGACGAUCAGUAGCCGGUCUGAGAGGAUGAACGGCCACAUUGGAACUGAGACACGGUCCAAACUCCUACGGGAGGCAGCAGUGGGGAAUAUUGCACAAUGGGGGAAACCCUGAUGCAGCGACGCCGCGUGAACGAAGAAGGUAUUCGUUUCGUAAAGUUCUGUCCUAUGGGAAGAUAAUGACAGUACCAUAGAAGAAAGCUCCGGCUAAAUACGUG